ensembl:lncRNA
AUGCCGGAGGUCACUUCCACCAGAAGUGAAAGGCUAACAUCCAAAGGCAUUAUGUUUUUUUGCAACACCACAGCCAUCAAGGACUGGAGCUAUUUUCUCUCUCAAAUCUGGCCUCUUGUGAAUAAAUCAGCGGGAUUUGUUCAUCAGAGUAUGGAGCGGGUGGAAGCGGUGACGAGCACCAUGGUGACGGCUCUGGAGCCCGACCUGAGCGGCAUGAGCGCCAGUCACCCGCCGCUCAACUCCAAUCACACGUCCGGAAUGGAGCACGUCUUUCAGUACUCGUACUCCGAGAGUGACCUGCAGUACACAGACUACAGGACGCCGCCGAGGGACUCGAUACCGCUGCCCAAGGCGGUGCUGUACCUGGUUAUGGCCGCGCUGGUGGUGGUGGCCGUGGCGUACGCGAUCGUGGGGCACCUGGUGAAGGAUCUCGUGCAUGAGUUUGUGGAGUGGGUGUUUGGGCCCCGUUCAGACAACCGCAGGAGCAAGAGUGAGGUGAACUGCAUCAGCAGCAGCAUGAAUGAAAUGAGCGAACUCUCGCAUCCAGCCGACACUCGCUGCAUCGUGUACAAUCACUCUGACUGCCCGAGCGCCAUUAAGCCGGAAGAACUGGUGGUCACCAUCGAUGAGACCUCGCAGCUACCUCGUGAAGCUUACAGUGGGACCUAAUUGAGACCAAACUAUCACCGUUUGAUCCAGCCCUUUAUUAUGAGGAGAAAAGCACGUUUGCUUUAGUUUGAUCAGCAUCUGUGAUGUUGAAAGCCGGCAUGUUGAAGUCACAUGGCGGAAGACUUAUCCUGGGAUGAGCAAAACUGAAGAAUCUCUGAGAUUUAAGAAGGAAUGGAAUCACUUUAAAGUACAUUAAAUGUUCCGUAUUGAGUGCUGUGAGACACUUUAUAUUUUCAAAUCGAAUAGAGAAAGAGAAAAGACACUUCUUUAUCGUUCAUAUCAGUCUUGUCACACAAUAUUUCAGUUUAUUUUUCUUGUUUUGUGGAGACAUGCACUGUGAAUCUAGAAUAGUGUUCUGCUGUUAUCCAUUUCCUACUCUACCUACAACCCGCUAUGGUUUGAUUUUCCCGCUUUUUGCAGAUAUUUAUGGCUGUGUACUUAUGAUAUUUGCAAAUACUCACGUUUUACUCAAUUUCAGGUUUCCUGUGAUCGACUAUGCUGCUUAAAAACAGAAAUGCAUAGAGAUCUUGUCCCUGCAGGUUGCUUGAAAUUCCAAGUAAUGAAGAUGGUUUAGAUAAACAGCCCUUGAUGAAAAAAUGAUCAAUAGUUAAUCCACAAUGGCUUUUUCAUCUAAGGCCGUGUUACCAAAAAUGUGUUUUAUAAUGGAGAGAGAUGCUACACAAACACUUCUCACUGAAAAUAUGUAUUUAAAUGGUAGAAAGCUGCAGUUAAAUAGAUUUUUGAUAAUAUAUAUGAGUUAUAUGUUGACAAAGUGGUCUAAAAAAAAUCAUAUCUCUGUUUACUUCACAACUAAAAGGGCUAUAAUUUCAGGUUUCAUUGCAGAUGGUCAUCAUAAUGAAGCUUCAGAUCUGAACAUCACAUUUUUAAACAGAUAUUAAAGUCAGUGUGUAUUAAAAAGGCAUAAUUGGCAGAGUUAUCACUUAUCAAAUGUUGGAAACGGGCAAACUUUGCCAACUUCUGCUGUCCUCUCUUUCAUACAUUUUUAACAAUAAAACUGAAAAAAGAAAAAGAAAAAUAGCUGUA